rnacentral:rRNA from 1 species
UACGAAGGGGGCUAGCGUUGCUCGGAAUUACUGGGCGUAAAGCGCACGUAGGCGGCUCUUUAAGUCGGGGGUGAAAUCCUGGAGCUCAACUCCAGAACUGCCUUCGAUACUGUAGAGCUUGAGUUCGGGAGAGGUGAGUGGAACUGCGGGUGUAGAGGUGAAAUUCGUAGAUAUUCGCAAGAACACCAGUGGCGAAGGCGGCUCACUGGCCCGAUACUGACGCUGAGGUGCGAAAGCGUGGGGAGCAAACAGG